rnacentral:rRNA from 1 species
GACGAGCGCUGGCGGCGUGCUUAACACAUGCAAGUCGAGCGGUAAGGCCCUUCGGGGUACACGAGCGGCGAACGGGUGAGUAACACGUGAGUAAUCUGCCCAUCACUUCGGGAUAACUCCGGGAAACCGGUGCUAAUACCGAAUAUGACCACUUCAGGCAUCUGAUGGUGGUGGAAAGUUCCGGCGGUGAUGGAUGAGCUCGCGGCCUAUCAGCUUGUUGGUGGGGUAGUGGCCUACCAAGGCUUCGACGGGUAGCCGGCCUGAGAGGGUGACCGGCCACACUGGGACUGAGACACGGCCCAGACUCCUACGGGAGGCAGCAGUGGGGAAUAUUGGACAAUGGGCGAAAGCCUGAUCCAGCAACGCCGCGUGAGGGAUGACGGCCUUCGGGUUGUAAACCUCUUUCAGCAGGGACGAAGCGCAAGUGACGGUACCUGCAGAAGAAGCACCGGCCAACUACGUG